rnacentral:lncRNA from 1 species
GGCGGGAUAUUUGUAUUGAAAUAGAAUUUAAAAAUCCAAGUACACUUUGUGAGAUAAAAAAAAAUAAGCAAAGAAGGGAAACUGACGCAAUACCAACUGCAGUCUGAAAUUCUGGAUGAUAGUGGAGCAACUUUUGCAAGGAAUAAUCUGAUAGCAAUGCUUCACUUUGAGUGCAUUGAGACCCCCUCAUGUAAAACACCACAAUAGUGCCUGACAGAAAAUAGGAGUAUAUUGAUCAAACGCUAGCUUCCAAAUCUAUGGGGGCAAGAAGAACAAUACUGAAAAUACUCAAUGCAGUCCUUGUCUUACAUAUAUAUAUAUAGACACACACACACACACUACAGAUGGAAGUUUGAAGAUCAUCAUCAUAUCUAAAAAAACAGGAUUCACCUAAGAUACAAAGACAUGAUGCUACCUCAGAAGAGGAAAUAUGAUUCAUGAAAGAUACAAAAGACAUGAUGCUACCUCAGAAGAGGAAAUAUAAUUCAUGAAAAGUUGAUAAAUUAUGCAGUUUCUCAGUACAUGAGGAAGAUAAACAUGUUAUAUGAAUCAAUGUAAGUUUGAGGUAAAAUAAACUGUAACAUAUUUUAAGUUAAUUUGAGAAUUUUGAGAUCAUACUAUUAUGACUUAAAUUGUGAACUCAGGUCAGGUAAUAUUUGGUAAACAAAUCAAAGAAGACUGGGACCUAUACAAACUGUAGCUGGCACUUACAUUAUUGAUGGUUACUGAAAGAAUUGCCAAAGCCAUCUGAGCCAUGGCUUCACUGAAUCAUGCUUACAGGGCUGACUAAAGGAUCACCAAACUUUUGAUAAGUUGGGAAUUAUCUGCAGUUAUAUUUCAUCUUAUCAUUUAGUACUCCAAGUAUACAAGAUACAUAUAAAAUCAUUGAAUCACUAAAUGUCAUUCAGUGAUAGGAAUUAUUGAUUCACUAAACAUUGUUCAGUGAUAGGAAUUAUCUGUAGGGAUUCAGUGCAGCAAGUGUACUACUAAACUUUCCAUGUAACAUAAUAGAAUACUAAAACCUUAAAAUACAAAGGUGCUUGAUAGAUGCAAGGUAACCAGAAUAAUCACAAUAUGACAAAUAAAUAUGGAAAACAAAGGAGCAUAAUAAUAGAAAUUGUAUAGUUAGGGGAAAAAGGAUUAUAUUGUUACGUAUUACCGUCAAAGAAAUUUCCCCAUAAUAGUUCAACAACCUGGGUAAAACGGUUGUGGAUUACUUAAUCCAGUAAUAAACCCAAGACGAAAUCGAAGUAGUUAAUCCUGUGAAGAAAUUGAAGGGAAUAAUUAAACUGUUAGUGCAAAUACUGUUAUACAGGGAAAAAAGAAGGGACCAAUUUGGGAUACUGAAAUCGGUUGGAAAUUGAUAAUUGAAUCACGAAGAAAUUAGUGUGACUACACAAUUAGCAUCAAACAAUAUGUAUUAUAAAAAAAUUUAGCUGAAUGGGGAAAGAAGCUAUGCUGGAACAUGUGAGAUCGGCAAGCAGUGGACAACCUAGAGCAGAUCAAUCCAAGGAUGUGCUUGUAUGGAGGAGAAGCUACUAGCUGGCCGAGCAGAUUGAUCCAGCUGCUGUGUACCACUUUUCUUCAGCUGUUGUGUGUAUCAUCAUACAUAAAUAGGACGGGAAAGAAGGCCAGUAUAAAGCAAGCGGCGACGUACUGUUUCAAAAAACUGAAGAUGAAUAGAUGGGACUCGGGGAUCGAACGGUUUCCGUUUCAGCGUGCGCCCAACGAUGGUUCCCUUUCUCCAUACAAGCCAAGGAGGCGAAGAGGCUGGGAGGCGGCUGCUGGGGGUGUGAGGCACCUGCGGCGCUAGGGUGCGACGUCGCAGGGCAGAGCGGGAGGGGCGACUGCAGCGCUG